rnacentral:rRNA from 1 species
UGGGGAAUUUUGGACAAUGGGGGCAACCCUGAUCCAGCAAUGCCGCGUGUGUGAAGAAGGCCUUCGGGUUGUAAAGCACUUUUGUCCGGAAAGAAAACGCCGUGGUUAAUACCCGUGGCGGAUGACGGUACCGGAAGAAUAAGCACCGGCUAACUACGUGCCAGCAGCCGCGGUAAUACGUAGGGUGCAAGCGUUAAUCGGAAUUACUGGGCGUAAAGCGUGCGCAGGCGGUCCGCUAAGACAGAUGUGAAAUCCCCGGGCUUAACCUGGGAACUGCAUUUGUGACUGGCGGGCUAGAGUAUGGCAGAGGGGGGUAGAAUUCCACGUGUAGCAGUGAAAUGCGUAGAGAUGUGGAGGAAUACCGAUGGCGAAGGCAGCCCCCUGGGCCAAUACUGACGCUCAUGCACGAAAGCGUGGGGGAGCAAACAGGAUUAGAUACCCUGGUAGUCCACGCCCUAAACGAUGUCAACUAGUUGUCGGGUCUUCAUUGACUUGGUACGU